rnacentral:pre_miRNA from 1 species
CGGAAAUACUUGUCAUCAAAAUGGAUAAAAGGAAAUGUAUCUAGACGUAUUUUAGUUUUAGAUACAUCUCUUUUUAUCCAUUUUGAUGAAAAGUAUUUUCGGACGGAGGGUGUAGAAA